ACCAUAAUCUUUGGAGGCAUUCGAUAAAAUUGAAAAAAUACAGAGAAUAUCAGUUUGGGCCCUACAGAAGGAUCACAUGCAUAAAUCUCGAAAUGGUCCAAAUUUUG
rnacentral:snRNA from 1 species